UGCUGCUUUGAGUAUUGAGAUGGAUAAA
rnacentral:piRNA from 1 species